rnacentral:rRNA from 1 species
GAGACAGCAGUCGCCACGGGAAUACAGAGGGUGCGAGCGUUAAUCGGAUUUACUGGGCGUAAAGCGUGCGUAGGCGGCUUUUUAAGUCGGAUGUGAAAUCCCUGAGCUUAACUUAGGAAUUGCAUUCGAUACUGGGAAGCUAGAGUAUGGGAGAGGAUGGUAGAAUUCCAGGUGUAGCGGUGAAAUGCGUAGAGAUCUGGAGGAAUACCGAUGGCGAAGGCAGCCAUCUGGCCUAAUACUGACGCUGAGGUACGAAAGCAUGGGGAGCAAACAGGAUUAGAUACCCGGGUAGUCCCUGUCUCUUAUAC